ensembl:lncRNA
CGAACAAGUCCAGGCAAGUCCUGGCCAAAGCUGGCAAAAUCUUUUGUCUGAAGGCUUUGCAAGCCAGGGGUAAGGAGAAAGAGAGAUAAGUCGCAGCUUAAUGACCGGGAAGCAGUCUUUUGUGUGGGCUUAUCUCGAGGGAGAUAGCCGUCUCAGGGGGUACUGCACAUGGCUCUUACCCAAGCGCCCCAGGACGCCACGUUGGCAGAGGAAGAAGGAUAAAAAGGGGACCAACAACCAAGAGGACAGGUUUUCUGACAACAGAUUCCUCAUGACGCGAUGCCUGCAUGCUGAAGAAGAGGUGUCUGACAUCAGAAGCCUCGCGAGCUGAUGCCGGCAUGCUGACGGACUCUCUCCUGUGCCUGCUACCUGAGACCUGCUGCUUCCUCCUGGACUUACCCUGCCGCUCCUUCCUGGUACCUGCUUGCUGCUUAAGACCGGCCACGCUGCUGCUGCUCUCCCCUGCGCUUUUGCGUCGGAACGUCGUGCAACGGGACGCUGCUGGAUCCUGAGCCUGUUACCAACAGACAGAAGGGAGGUUGGACUUGAGGGCCUCAAAGCACUCCUUCCAUCCUGAACUGCUUUACACUUUCAGGUUCUUCUGUGUUUUCUCAUAUGGUGAUGUAACUAUUUAUUCUCAUUUGAACUCUACUUAAACAUUCAGGUCUGACAUACUGAAAUAAUUGUUUACACAGCCAGCCAGUACUGAUUGCUUCCAUGACCCCCACUGUCUAUAAUUUCACAGAGACUACAAACUCUCUUAGGUUCUGUUUAUCAGCUCUGAGAUGUAAGAUUCUCACUGUCUUAAGAAAAUCCUUACUUUCUCUUAAACAGAAAAAUCAAAUCUGCAAUAUAAUAUCUAAUCAAUUUCUUAUAAAAAUUUAUUAUAUUAGUAAAUGGAAAGUGAUUACUGUCUCUCCGCUUCUUAAGUUAUAAAAAAAUUACUUCCACCAAGGAGAAUAAACUUUAUAUAGGCUCAUCACAAUCUGUUUUCAACGUAAGUACUUGAAGUUGGAAAUACAUAAAACUCUUACACAAUAAUGGAGGCACCAGCCAGCCAUUUCAACUUGCUUUUCGCUGAAUUCUGUUUUAUAUUCACUCAGUGAAAGUCUCGAUGUGCUUUGUAUUUUCAGGACCUCUGUAUUUUCAGUAUUUUCAGAACUCCUACGUAAAUACAUUUUGUUAUCGGUGUGAAGCAUUUCCUAAAACAUCAGUGCAAUUCAAGAAGUCCUAAUCGAGUCAAGGGAGUUUGCACUUCUUAAUUGCAUACAUGCUUUUCUACUUAAAACACUUAACAAUGUUGUGUAAAUUGGUUUUAUAUUCAAAUAAAUCUUUUUGUAUUUAUUAUUCUUACAACAUUUUUUCAGCGCUUUAACUAAUUUCCUCUAAAGGUAAAACAUUUUUCAUUUUAAAUUAUUGGAGUGGAAAAUUGCACACAUUUAAAAAUUCAUGAAGUAGUAUGUAGGGGCCUGUGGUGUCAUCAAAUAUUUAUGAUAUGGCACCAUAUUUAUUCCACCUACUUGUUAAAUUUGCUUGAAGUGCCCGCUGUGAUUUGUUUGGCAGAGCAUACCUACUUAUUUUUCCAUAACAAUCUUUUAUGUGUUUCAUACAGUACUAUCUAUUGUUUGAACUGUACCAGGGAGAAAGAAAGCAUAACAUUUCAGACUGUUUUUCAUCUCUGUUAAUAGAGGGUAGCUUCUAGUGGGAAUUCCAGACACCACUUUUAUGCAAUCAGCCAGGGCAACUUAGAAAACCAUCUACAAAACAAAAUACUUAAAAAUGAUUUCAUGAUAAUUUUUGAAUACAACUGAAGUGUUGCGUCAAGCUUUGUGAACCUGGAAGGAAAGUGUCAAUUCUAUUUAGUGAUGAGGUUAUUUCAGGUAGUUAUGAAUAUCAUAUGCGUAACUUCUAGAAGAAAAUAAAAGCCUUUCGAGUAAAAUAUCAGUGUCAUUCAAUAGGAUGGGGAAAAAAGCUACCUUUAGCCUUUGGACAGAGCAGAGUUUUUCCUUUCAUGGUUUCUUACCUUACUUUUUCUAAUUAUCUAGUUCAGUAAUUUUCAGUCUGACAACAAUGUAAGUAGUCAUUGUUAAGAUCCUACAAACAAUUAAAGGGAUAUAAACUUGUUAAAAUUUUAUCAUCUCAUUAAAAGAGACGACUUCUACUUUCUAAAUAUAGAAUUGUUUUAUUUUGCCAUAAACUUCAUUUUCAGCUCUGAUUUGACUCAGUAAAUAAAUUCAGUGAAUGAGCCUUUGUACUGAUCAGCAUUGUUCUGUAAAGUGAUAUUAAUUUUUUGAAUAUUAUACAUAAGCUACAGAAUGAGAGUCAGACUUAGUAUCCUGUUAAAAGGAUCCCCACUUCUGAAAGAAAUGAGAGAUUAAUGCCCAUGCAUUCAAGCAGCAGUUAGAAGAUCAACACAUUGCAUUUCCUGUAGGAUAAUGCCACACUUGGUUAGAUUUUUUAAUCACUAUUUAAUGUUGAAACAUGAGUUAUCAAAUAUCUCCAGGCAACAGCUAAAUUCAAACGGUAAUUUAUUGAAAUUGGCAGAGUCCCAGAGAAAAUACUCUUCACUAAUAUUCUGUUCUGGAGACAAAAAAAAUUAAAAUAAAAUAGAGCUCUCUCCCUAUUUUCUUUUAUUUGGAAAUAUACAAGUGUCAUCUAUUAUCUACUUAGGCUGCUCUCCAGUCUUGAUUUCUUGACCACAUUACAAUCAAGUAAGAAAAAAAAGGAUAAUCUGUAGCGUUCCUCUAAAAACUGAGUACUGCUAUCUGGAAGAAAUAUUCAACUCCUGUAAGAGAAGCACUUCCAUAUUUUUCUAUCUUCUACCUGCAGAAAAUUAUUUCUAUCCGUAUAGCCUUGAAAAGUUCUUCAGAAUGCCUUCAAGCUUAAGUACAGAAUCUGCUUGUAUGUCCUUAAGCAUUCAGCUCAAAACAGGUGCACAUCAUCUGAACAACAGGAAGAAAAUUUCAUGGAUGGCCAGCAGGUUUUGAAAUGUUUGUUUGUUUGUUUGUUUUUCUAUGUGUGUGUGGUUUUUUUUGCUCUCCCUCAAUGAUUUCUGUAUCAAUGUUUUUCACAUCCCACUUACAGCUGGUGGCUGAAUGGUAUUUACAUUACUGAUGUUCGUAACUAAGUCUCAAGGUAGAUUAGGUUCAGUGCAUCUGAGCAUUUCAGCUGAAAACAAUUUCUUCUGGUGAAGAGCCAGGAAGUUGCAGAUGUCAGAAGCAGCUAAUUGCUGUACCUAAAACAUAACAGUUUCAUGAUCUCAAAUCAAAGAACAGAGGUAUCAAUCAUUCUGCUCUUAUUCUCCCACCCAGCACAAGGUUUCUUGCUGUAAUAAAUGAGAAAACUGUGAAGAUGUAAAACAAUAUAUAUUCAGAAAUUGUUAGCAGCAUUUUGUACUGUAAACAGAAUUUCUUACUACAGUUUUCAGUUUACACUGUUUAUGUGUGCUGAUCUACUUUAAAAAUGCAAUAUUGGCUGCAAAGCAUCCUUAGUGAAGAUCAAACUUAACUACUGACAAAAAUAAUAAAUCGAGGAAUUUCUAUUCAUUGCCACACAGUAGAGAAACUCCAAGUUAUACUUUAUACUUUCUACCUUUUCUAGUAAAUAAUUUAUAUCAGCAGGAUGAAUACAUUGCAUUUGUAUAAGCAGACAGUUACAGGGUGUAAUAGCUGAAUUUACCAGUGAGCUCAAAUCUGGCAUUUCUGACCUCCUUUAAAACAGGUUUCUAAGGCAGUCAGUGGUUUUUAAAACUGUCAAGUCAGCUCUGCUAUGAGGUUCUCAAAAGUAUAAAACCACACUCCAGUAUCCAAACUAUUUCUUUAGGAAGUCAGUGUCUACAUACAAUGAUCUUAUCUUCCGUCACCACGCAAAAUCUGUUCCAUUUACACUAGGUAAUAAAAGAGUGCUUUGAUCAGGAAUGUGAUAAGUUUAUCUUGCAUCUUCACCAGGCCUCAAAACUCCCUAUUUAACUAAUUUCCAGAACAGAACUUCUGGAUAGAAGGAUAAACGGUCUUAUUAUAUAGUGCUGAUAGUACUUUUUUCUGCCUUCUCCCAGUGAAGAAUGUCACAGGAGAAAGAACUCCACAUUUUCAUUAUUUUCAAGAUUUACCAAAAUUAAGAUCUAUCAAUAUUU